rnacentral:misc_RNA from 1 species
AACGCACAUUGCACUCCUUGGUAUUCCGAGGAGUAUGCCUGUUUCAGUAUCAUGAGCACUCUCACACCUAACCUUUGGGUUUUGUUGUGGAAUUGGGAUGCGCCGAUUUUAAUAGUCGGCACUCCUAAAAUGUAGCUCAUGACUGUUUCCUACUACAGCAGUUUGGCCUAAUAGUUUUGACUUUUGUCAAAUCUUUGGCUACAUUUGCUUCUGGAAGUCAGUCUUGAUAAUACAGAAAACUCAUUUCAAACUUUGAUCUGAAAUCAGGUAGGGCUACCCGCUGAACUUAA